AACGGCCCAGACUCCUACGGGAGGCAGCAGUGGGGAAUUUUGGACAAUGGGCGCAAGCCUGAUCCAGCAAUGCCGCGUGAGUGAAGAAGGCCUUCGGGUUGUAAAGCUCUUUUGUCAGGGAAGAAACGGUUCGGGUUAAUACCUUGGGCUAAUGACGGUACCUGAAGAAUAAGCACCGGCUAACUACGUGCCAGCAGCCGCGGUAAUACGUAGGGUGCAAGCGUUAAUCGGAAUUACUGGGCGUAAAGCGUGCGCAGGCGGUUGUGCAAGACAGAUGUGAAAUCCCCGGGCUCAACCUGGGAAUUGCAUUUGUGACUGUACGGCUAGAGUGUGUCAGAGGGGGGUAGAAUUCCACGUGUAGCAGUGAAAUGCGUAGAGAUGUGGAGGAAUACCGAUGGCGAAGGCAGCCCCCUGGGAUAACACUGACGCUCAUGCACGAAAGCGUGGGGAGCAAACAGGAUUAGAUACCCUGGUAGUCCACGCCCUAAACGAUGUCUACUAGUUGUCGGGUCUUUAUUGACUUGGUAACGCAGCUAACGCGUGAAGUAGACCGCCUGGGGAGUACGGUCGCAAGAUUAAAACUCAAAGGAAUUGACGGAA
rnacentral:rRNA from 1 species